rnacentral:tRNA from 1 species
GGGAAUAGAUGAGUGCUGGUGUGCUCGCCAGUCUUCAAAACUGUGUUGCCGUGCUAAGACCACGACGGGUGGGUUCGAUUCCCACAUAUUCCCGCCA